rnacentral:rRNA from 1 species
UACGUAGGGGGCAAGCGUUGUCCGGAUUUACUGGGCGUAAAGGGCGCGUAGGCGGCCAGCACAAGUCAGUUGUGAAAUCUCCGAGCUUAACUCGGAAAGGUCAACUGAUACUGUGCGGCUAGAGUGCAGAAGGGGCAACUGGAAUUCUUGGUGUAGCGGUGAAAUGCGUAGAUAUCAAGAGGAACACCUGCGGCGAAGGCGGGUUGCUGGGCUGACACUGACGCUGAGGCGCGAAAGCCAGGGAGGCGAACGGG